GACGAACGCUGGCGGCGUGCCUAAUACAUGCAAGUCGAACGCUUCUUUCCUCCCGAGUGCUUGCACUCAACUGGAAAGAGGAGUGGCGGACGGGUGAGUAACACGUGGGUAACCUACCCAUCAGAGGGGGAUAACACUUGGAAACAGGUGCUAAUACCGCAUAACAGUUUAUGCCGCAUGGCAUAAGAGUGAAAGGCGCUUUCGGGUGUCGCUGAUGGAUGGACCCGCGGUGCAUUAGCCAGUUGGUGAGGUAACGGCUCACCAAGGCCACGAUGCAUAGCCGACCUGAGAGGGUGAUCGGCCACACUGGGACUGAGACACGGCCCAGACUCCUACGGGAGGCAGCAGUAGGGAAUCUUCGGCAAUGGACGAAAGUCUGACCGAGCAACGCCGCGUGAGUGAAGAAGGUUUUCGGAUCGUAAAACUCUGUUGUUAGAGAAGAACAAGGACGUUAGUAACUGAACGUCCCCUGACGGUAUCUAACCAGAAAGCCACGGCUAACUACGUGCCAGCAGCCGCGGUAAUACGUAGGUGGCAAGCGUUGUCCGGAUUUAUUGGGCGUAAAGCGAGCGCAGGCGGUUUCUUAAGUCUGAUGUGAAAGCCCCCGGCUCAACCGGGGAGGGUCAUUGGAAACUGGGAGACUUGAGUGCAGAAGAGGAGAGUGGAAUUCCAUGUGUAGCGGUGAAAUGCGUAGAUAUAUGGAGGAACACCAGUGGCGAAGGCGGCUCUCUGGUC
rnacentral:rRNA from 1 species